UUUUAAAAAUAAGAACAAAGAAAGAUGAAACAGACACACCCUUUUUCUUCUUCGGUUUUGUUUGUUCUCUAAUUGAUGAUGCACCUCAAAUGUUGUUUUAGACAUAGCUUAUUUUAUCAAUAUGUUAACAUCUGGUUUUGUAUGGUAACAAGUUUUAAGCAUCAAGUAUGAAAGAGUUCAAAUAAAUGUUGUUGGAGAGUCGAUCAAAUUGAAGGUAUAAUCAUGGCUUCAAACUGGUUUUGUAUGGUAACACUGUUUGGAGACUACCUUUUAUAUAGUUUACAUUUUUAGUUAAAACUAUAUUUAAUUCUCACAUUGGCAUAAGAAUGUUUUAGUUGGAACUGUAAAAACUUUUUAUAAAGUUUGGUUUGCUGGAAGGUUUUUUGAAUGUUUUAGUUGUUUUUAGUUUCAUUGUUCUGUUUAUAAGCUCAAGAAACUUUCAUAUUUGGAUAUUUGUUGCUUGAUUGAAGGUUUAUGAUAGAAUCCCACAUGAACAAGACAAUGGUUGUUCUAAAGGCUCUUAAGUAAUAUGCUCACUUUAUUAAAAAGGAACUAAAUAUGUAUCUAUUCAUACAAUUUCAAAGCUCCAUUUUGGUUAUAGAACUUCCAAUUAUUCGAGAUAGCACAAUAAUAUGCAUGUAGAAGAUUAUCUAUUUAUUUCCAAUAAACUAAUAAGUGUUCACCGUAGAAUGCAUAUUAAACCUCUCUCUCAAAUGAGUGUUCACUGCAGAACGAACUAAUUAAUCCUUUACUUAUGAUUGUUAGUGUUAUAGGUUCAUUUUUAUAUUUUUUUUAUUUAUUUUUGACUUCUAUUUGCCCUUUAAUCAGAGGAGCACCACAAGUUUUGAGAGAUGCAGUGGUUUUUAUAAUUUCACCAUAAUGUAAAGAGAAACACUAAUAUCACGAUGGUCCUAUUAGAUAUAUUAUAUCAUGCAUCAUAAUUCAAUUUUAAGCCAUUUUCAUGUCUUACUUGAAUAUUUUUUGUGUGACUCUCUUUUAUUAGUCGGUGAUGUGUGACUCUUUGCAGGUCUGCUUUAAUUACAAGCUACAAAUAGUGGCUCAUGGAUUCCUUUUCAUUCACUGGAUUUGUAGUGUUUCAUUGGAAUAGUCUUGGCCAAAGUUUUACUGUUCUUAUUUUUGAAACCAUUUAUUAGUUUGAGUAAGAUUCUUAAUUUGUUUGUGUUCUAUCGGAUUUUAAACUUUUCUGCUAUAUAUUGAGUUUUUUUUUUCAUUCAUGUUUUCAUUGAAUAAUUGGGUGUAAUGUUACCCAGAAAAUCCUAAGUACUUUGAUGGUAUCUCAAUUUAGAAGCAUUGUUAUACUUUUAUACCAAAAAUAGAGUCAUGCACUUACCAUUGGCAGGACAAGGGAUACUGGAAUAUAUAAUUUUUUGUUGGUAUAUUUCAAUUUGAUUGCUGCGUUCAAUAAAUAAAUAUAAGUGUUAGUGUCCAUUAAUAUAACUUGAUUCCUUACUAUAGCGAGAGUUAGUUAGGUGCAUAGCUUGACUGUAUUUGAAAACUCCUCAUUGGAUGGAUUUAAUUUUUUGAUUGUGAAAGUGAGCACUUAAAGUGUUUGUGAGGAAAUGUUUCAAUAUGAAAAAUUAAUGGCUUUGUGGUCUUAUUUUAUAUGAAAUAUAUCUACAAAUUUCAUGAUAUGUAUUAGUCUUUUUAUGUGUCUUGAAGGUAUUUUUGAAGACAUUAGAGUGCAAAAUCAAUAUCAUUUAUGUUACUGGAGAAAUUUCUAAUUAUUACAUGUUCAUGCAAAGUAGUGAGUUACAAGAAAAUGUAAGGAGACUAUUGUUUUUCCUCUUUGAAAGUUAAAGUUUAGAAUACAUUUUCUUACAAAUGUUAAAAGCUACAUUAUCCUCGAUGACAUUUAAUUCAAGGUUAUUAAUUUCCCCAAAUCUCAAACAUUAUGUUCUAAUAUUUCUCAUAUUUUUGUUUUGUUAUCAAUUUACUGAUUGAUAAAAUUUUCUGCAGAGGUUGAAGUUGGAUUUUGAGCUUAUAGCUUGCUAACCGAAGACUAGAUCAUGAUACUAUCAAACAAUAAUGACUAUAGGCAAGAUAUAUAGAGUAGGAGCAGCUUGCAUAUUUGUUAUAGAUAGAUGCAUCUUUCAAUAUAAGAGACUUUUCUUGGUUAAUCGAUGUUAGGAAGAAUCUCAAUGCUAGCUAAUGGCAAUCUAUCAUAAUCCAUUUACUUGAUAUUUCAUUGUUAUUCAAGUGCAUUGAAACUUUUUUAGCCAUAUGAUCUACUUUUGAUCGUUUUAUAUAUGAUUUGUAGCAUAACUAAAAUUGUUAAUAGCUAUGUAAAUUCAAAAAACACGGGGUGCACCGAAAGGGUUAUGUCUAUGCGUAUAUCAACUUUGUAAAUAUUAUAGAAUGAUUGUGUUAUGUAUCUUUAUUAUAAUUAAGUUCCAAUUGUUAUAUUUAGAAAAAACAGGGGGAGCGUCCCAUAAGGGUUAUUUUAUGAUGUAGUUGUAUUAUGUGAAUUAACAUAUGUCUAAAUUUGUUAUUGAAG
rnacentral:lncRNA from 1 species